rnacentral:misc_RNA from 1 species
UAGUUCACCUCUUCGCCAUUGUUUCCGCGUUAAACGCGCGCACGCACGUUUCAUGAACGGAAGCGGAGCGGAAAGGAGACGGACCACGAGUCCCUUGGCACCCUCAGUAGAUAGCGCAGCGAAGGAACCUCCAGAGGUGUCUGAUGGCACAGCACAAUCUGGCAACGUGUCCGGAUCAUUGAUAGAAACCUCAUCAUUGUCUGCGAGCUCGUCUCCGAAGGAAACCGCAGCGCCAGAUGCUGAAGAUGACGAGUUUUCUGUCACCAAGUCACUACACCUACGUCGUGACUGGUAUAGCAGCAUCGCCACGUUCAUUGCCGGUGGCGUGGCAGGUGCUGCAAGUCGUACUCUGACAGCCCCGCUCGACCGGAUUAAGCUCAUUGCGCAGGAGGGACAUCUCGUGCAGGCGCCAAAACCCGUCUCGGCGACCGCCGCAGCGAGCUGCGCCGCGAGCUUUGGCUCGGCAGCUGCCAGCGUCGCCAGCAAGACCCAGACCGUCCGCCAACAGCACCCGAGUCUCCUGCAAGUGGCCCGCAUGAUCAAGGCGGAUGGUGGCUGGAAGGCGUUUUGGCGCGGCAAUACGAUCAACUGCUUCAAGGCAGGGCCCGAGUUUGCCAUUGUCUUUUCGAUUCGCCGCUACCUGUCCUCGCUGUAUGAGGAUUGCGUGGAGCGGGAAAAGGCGCGCAAGAAGAUCUUGUUAGCGCGGUGGAAAGCAAUGGAUGAGCGCAGCGCCUCCAUCUGCUGCCGCACACAGGAGACGCGUGAGUUCAUGAGGGUGGGGACAGAGGAGCCGAGAGCUCGCACCGGCGCAACGGGGCUCCAGAGCAUCGUCGAUGGCACACGUAGCAGUUAUCGCGCCGGUCAUCCAACACUUGUUUCACCUGUAUCCCCAGCGGCAUCCGUCACUCCGAUGCUGACAAGCGACGAGGUACGGCAGAGGGAGCGCGCCAUCUCGGUGGAGGCGUCUAUCCUCACCCCUCCCUUUCACCGACUGGGAUGCAUCUCUACUGUGCCACAACUCGCUGUGAACUGCACGAUUGGUGCCCUCGCCGGCCUUGGCGCACAAGGCAUUCUAUACCCACUCGAGGUGGUCAAGACGCGUGUUGUGGUGUCGAGGAGCCACGAGUACAAAGGCGGUGUGGUGGAGAUUGCGCGCGUUGCUUACCACAAGGGUGGUGUAAUGGAGUUCUACCGGGGUUUCGUGCCGAACAUGGUCGGCAUCGUUGUCUACCGAGGGCUGGAAAUGGGCCUCUACUCCAGCGCGCAGCAGUCUAUCAUGAUGUAUCGAAUGCAGGUGAAGAAGAUGAAGCGGCACGAGGCAAGCUUAAAUUCGGCCGAAGUCGGCGUGGUCGGGAUGUUUUCCUCCACGGUGGCGCAGACAGUGUCGUACCCGUUGAAUGUGAUACGAACCCGACUGCAGACGCAGGGCACCAACGGGCGAGCAAAGAAGUACAGUGGGAUGGUAGACUGCAUGGUAAAGAUGAUUCGCAACAAAGGCGUGACGUCACUAUUUAGCGGACUUACCGCGAACUACCUCAAAGCGGUGCCGGCGAGCGCCUGCACAUUUGUCGUCUUCGAGUGGGCGCAGCGACUGCUCGUCGACGAUGAUUGACAAGCUGCUCCCGCUCUCUUUCUCUGUCUAGCUAUGUACGCUGUGAAGGAGCUCGCCGUACGCGCACACGAGAGCGGCAAACACGGACUUAUCUGUGUGAACCCAAUCACCAGCAAGACAUUAACAUCCUUUUUUUUUGCUUCUGACAGAGGUUUCAUGGUUGGCAACAGCCGUCCCUCACCGGAGCAGCACGGAUGCUGAGCUGACGAGGCGACCGGAGUCGACGCUCGACCAGCCCUGCACGGGCAUCCGUGGGCACUCUGGAUUCCUGCAGCGGCGGCUGACUGGCAGCGACAGCGUGGGGUUCAGGUGGUGUGCUGCCCACAGCUCGGCGAGAACUGCGGCACCCCCACGGCCGCCAGAGCGUCCGCCCCCGUCUCUGUGUGGUUGCCACGAGGGUGCUCGACCGUGGGGUGGUUGCUCGGUAUGCUACGCGGGCUUGGCAGGUCGCUGUAGGCUGAAAGCACACCUCGUUUCACGCUAUGAUGCUGCACGCCACGGCCUGAGGCGCCUUCCUGCUCGAGCUCACCCGGCAUGUACGCCGGCCACCCACCUCUUUCCUCCCCCUACCGUGUUACCCGCGGCACGAACACCCCCGCCACUGCCGUGGAGCAGGGCCCUGGACGCGGCCCGGUGUAACUGCAGCCGGCCCGCCCUCGACGACCAGGAUGUGGGCGUCGCGCGACAAUGGCCGGGUGAGCUGUGAUUAGGUGCGCGUAUAGUUGUGGACUUUGCACGGGGUGGGGUGAGGCGAGAAGGAAAUGGGUUGCUGUGAGAUCCUGCCAUCAGGACACACCUCGGCGUGCUGUCAGGCUCCAGUGCCGAAUGUCUUCUGGUGGUGAGAGGACUAGACACCUACGUCGCGGGCAGCUGAGAGCAAGGCACGGCUGCUGAUGUCGGUGGUGCGAUCUCGGAACGGCGCCACCUUGGAGCGACUUGCGACGGCGAACAAGCGAGUGCCAUCCAUGUGAUGGACAGGGUGUCGGCGUGACUGGUACGUGGCCGACUGCCAGCCCUUCGCAUGGCUUACUGGCGUGGAGCCUUGGCUCCCCCUGGAGGGAUGCACCGCGUGGCGAGCUGCGCAGCAGUUUGGCGAGCAGGGUUCGAGGCAGAGGGCGAGCUCAGAUGACUGAGUCGGCGCAUGCUGUAAGACGUGUGCCUGCGGUUACUUCGUUUCUCGUGAUGUGCCCCUGUGACAGGGCGGGGGUAAAGUUGGGCUCGAGUUCUCUUUGAUCGCAAGGAAUGCACACGUCGGAGAAAGGCUCUCCUCGCUUGGGCGGCGGCGGCGUUCUUGUCAGGCAGUAGUGUGUGCGAUCGUUUUUCCGCGGGAGGGAUGAUGUUGGUGGUUUUCGGUAGUCGUCGGUGGCACUUCCUGUCCGCUGUGACUAUUGCUCCCUUCAAGCGUUGCUCGCCUGCACUGCGUUGCGCGCGUGGGAGAGAGAGAAAAGAAACCCUUCUUUGGUUUCCGUCGAUGAUCCGUGUUGAUGGGAUCUUGCGCAGGUGUGGUGUUUACGUGAGUAUGCCCACUUUUCUUAUUUCUCUUUCGUGUCGUCGCACGCGUCACACCUUUCGGGAAGCCCGCGACACCUACGACAUCGUCUCGCCCGUCCACAGAAUCAUUCGACACGCCGGCCGUAUCCACCACUCCUGCUACCUAUUCACGAAGCAGCGAUGAAUACCACACCCACAGCACCUGCAGCGGCUACAGUAGAGGGUACAGACCCAAACGAAUAACAGAAAACGAAGGAAGAACGUGAGUUCAAGCGGCUGUGCCGCCGCAAGUGGACGCAUAUGUGUGUAUGCAUGUGCCAGAGAGGGUGAGAGGCGUGCUGGUGAUAGCUACCGAGGGGUCCGCCACGUUUUCUCCGCAUCUCUCCUAUUACCAGCACCACCUUCGUUUCAUAAG